GAUGAACGCUGGCGGCGUGCCUAAUACAUGCAAGUCGAGCGAACAGACGAGGAGCGUGUUCCUCUGAUGUUAGCGGCGGACGGGUGAGUAACACGUGGAUAACCUACCUAUAAGACUGGGAUAAUUUCGGGAAACCGGAGCUAAUACCGGAUAACAUGUUGAACCGCAUGGUUCAACAGUGAAAGACGGUCUUGCUGUCACUUAUAGAUGGAUCCGCGCCGCAUUAGCUAGUUGGUAAGGUAACGGCUUACCAAGGCAACGAUGCGUAGCCGACCUGAGAGGGUGAUCAGCCACACUGGAACUGAGACACGGUCCAGACUCCUACGGGAGGCAGCAGUAGGGAAUCUUCCGCAAUGGGCGAAAGCCUGACGGAGCCACGCCGCGUGAGUGAAGAAGGUCUUCGGAUCGUAAAGCUCUGUUAUUAGGGAAGAACAAAUGUGUAAGUAACUAUGCACGUCUUGACGGUACCUAAUCAGAAAGCCCCGGCUAACUACGUG
rnacentral:rRNA from 1 species